GCCGACGUAGCUCAGCUGGUAGAGCACAUCACUCGUAAUGAUGGGGUCACCGGUUCGAUUCCGGUCGUCGGCUCCA
rnacentral:tRNA from 1 species